AGGAACAUGUGGUUUAAUUCGAUGAUACGCGAGGAACCUUACCCGGGCUUGAACUGCACCCGACGGACAAAGAGAUUUGUCUUCCGCAAGGCGGGUGUGGAGGUGCUGCAUGGUUGUCGUCAGCUCGUGCCGUGAGGUGUCGGCUUAAGUGCCAUAACGAGCGCAACCCUUCUCUUCAGUUGCCAUCAGGCAGAGCUGGGCACUCUGGAGACACUGCCAUCGUAAGAUGCGAGGAAGGUGGGGAUGACGUCAAAUCAGCACGGCCCUUACGUCCGGGGCUACACACGUGUUACAAUGGGAGGUACAGAAGGCCGCGACCCGGCGACGGGAAGCCAAUCCCCAAAUCCUCUCUCAGUUCGGACUGGAGUCUGCAACCCGACUCCACGAAGCUGGAUUCGCUAGUAAUCGCGCAUCAGCCAUGGCGCGGUGAAUACGUUCCCGGGCCUUGUACACACCGCCCGUCAAGCCAUGAAAGCCGGGGGUACCUGAAGUCCGUAACCGCAAGGAGCGGCCUAGGGUAAAACUGGUAAUUGGGGCU
rnacentral:rRNA from 1 species